UACAGAGGUGGCAAGCGUUGUUCGGAAUUACUGGGCGUAAAGGGCGCGUAGGCGGCCUACUAAGUCAGACGUGAAAUCCCCCGGCUUAACCUGGGAACUGCGUCUGAUACUGGAGGCUUGAGGAUGGGAGAGGGAUGUAGAAUUCCAGGUGUAGCGGUGAAAUGCGUAGAUAUCGGGAGGAACACCUGAGGCGAAGGCGGGCUACUGGGCCGAUACUGACGCUGAUGCGCGAAAGCCAGGGGAG
rnacentral:rRNA from 1 species